CCUACGGGUGGCAGCAGUGGGGAAUAUUGCACAAUGGGGGAAACCCUGAUGCAGCGACGCCGCGUGAGUGAAGAAGUAUCUCGGUACGUAAAGCUCUAUCAGCAGGGAAGAAAAUGAGGGUACCUGACUAAGAAGCCCCAGCUAACUACGGGCCAGCAGCCGCGGUAAUACGUAGGGGGCAAGCGUUAUCCGGAUUUACUGGGUGUAAAGGGAGCGUAGACGGGAGCACAAGUCUGGUGUGAAAUCCCGGGGCUUAACCCCGGGACUGCUUUGGAAACUGUGCGGCUGGAGUGCAGGAGGGGUAGGCGGAAUUCCUAGUGUAGCGGUGAAAUGCGUAGAUAUUAGGAGGAACACCGGUGGCGAAGGCGGCUUACUGGACUGUAACUGACGUUGAGGCUCGAAAGCGUGGGGAGCAAACAGGAUUAGAUACCCCAGUAGUC
rnacentral:rRNA from 1 species